UAGGGAAUUUCGCAAUGGGCGCAAGCCUGAACGAGCAAUGCCGCGUGAACGAGGAAGGUCUUCGGAUCGUAAAGUUCUGUUGAAGGGGAAAAAGAGCGGAGAGAGGAAAUGCUUUCUGAUUGAUAUUACCCUUCGAGGAAGUCACGGCUAACUACGUGCC
rnacentral:rRNA from 1 species